GCCCGAGUGGCGGAAUGGCAGACGCGCCGGACUCAAAAUCCGGUGGGGGCAACCCCGUGUGAGUUCGACUCUCACCUCGGGCA
rnacentral:tRNA from 1 species